rnacentral:lncRNA from 1 species
AAAAAAAGUUCUGAAAACAGACCGUACAUGGCUGUGAAAUCUGACUGGCUUUCUUUCUGAAGGUAUGUAUGGGAGAGGACAACUUUGAAACUGUAAAGCUACACUGGAACAUGCUUUCAUUGAAAGAAAUGCUUAUUUAAAAAUAAUACUCAUCCCAUACAGUACAUAGCAGUGCUGUUAAAAGUCAUGUGCAAGUUAUCAAAUUUCAAGGGAGUAUCAGCCACACACGGAUUUCUCAGUUGUUCAUAACGAUAGGACUGAAACGCACGGCUUCCAGAUCCUUUAAAUAGCUUUUGGAGGGAAGAACAUUAUAAUUAAGCUGCAUCGAGUGUCACUGCAAAGAAGCUUCUAAAUUACGGGUCUGAGUGGGGGCGAGGAAUGCUCUUUGAUUGCCUGACAAUCAACAGCAGAAGAUGUUCACAUACGCGUAACCCAGACUCACUGUAAUUAUAUCAGAAGCAGAAGAGGUGGGCGCGGCGGGAGCAGCCUGAUUCACUAAUCAUUUGCUUGUUGUUCUUUCAAAAAUCAUCUUCAGACUAGUCACAAACACUCAGGAAUUCAUAUUUACAGAGUGGCUCUGUAUCAGAAAGGAUAGAAAGAAGGACCAGUCCUUUCAGUGUGUCCUGGAUGCUUUGGAAGGCUACUCCAGAAAAGACAUCUCAGGAGUGAGUCAAGCCACGUACAUGGAUUUGUGAUACUCAUCUUUUCCAUUUAAAUGCCCAUGGAGGAGCAGCAUUGUCCUCUCGCCAGCUGCCCUCAGGUUCCUGUCACCAGCUAUCUUCAUGUACUUUAGAACUUGUCUGUUUGGUUUACAGCAUGCUACCCAAGGGAAAAUAAUGAUUUAAAACCCUAGGUGUUGCAGGAUACUUGCUCACACUGUGAACCCUGAGAUUGUGUUAUUAACUUUAAAAACUUGUUUUUAGUUGUGGUAUGGCUCAGCUUUAGCACAUACAUUUAAUUCAAGAGCUUUCUGCUUGAAUAUUGUAAACAGGAUUAAGUAAAGUCAACCAUAGGUCAAGAGGCAGAACAAGCAACCAGUUGAUAGGGAAUGAACAGAGGAAAAAAGCCAUAGAGAGUAAGAGGGGGUCAGGAGGACAAAUAGAGAAA